ACACUACUGAGGAGUCUUAUACUAGGACGAAACGACCGUCCGGUGU
rnacentral:hammerhead_ribozyme from 1 species